rnacentral:rRNA from 1 species
AGGACGAACGCUGGCGGCGUGCUUAACACAUGCAAGUCGAACGGUAAGGCCUUUCGGGGUACACGAGUGGCGAACGGGUGAGUAACACGUGGGUGAUCUGCCCUACACUUUGGGAUAAGCCUGGGAAACUGGGUCUAAUACCGAAUAUGACCAUUGGUUGCAUGACUGGUGGUGGAAAGCUUUUGCGGUGUGGGAUGGGCCCGCGGCCUAUCAGCUUGUUGGUGGGGUUAAGGCCUACCAAGGCGACGACGGGUAGCCGGCCUGAGAGGGUGUCCGGCCACACUGGGACUGAGAUACGGCCCAGACUCCUACGGGAGGCAGCAGUGGGGAAUAUUGCACAAUGGGCGCAAGCCUGAUGCAGCGACGCCGCGUGAGGGACGACGGCCUUCGGGUUGUAAACCUCUUUCAGUAGGGACGAAGCGCAAGUGACGGUACCUACAGAAGAAGGACCGGCCAACUACGCGCCAGCAGCCGC